CAGCCGCCACGGUAAUACAGAGGGUGCGAGCGUUAAUCGGAUUUACUGGGCGUAAAGCGUGCGUAGGCGGCUUCUUAAGUCGGAUGUGAAAUCCCUGAGCUUAACUUAGGAAUUGCAUUCGAUACUGGGAAGCUAGAGUAUGGGAGAGGAUGGUAGAAUUCCAGGUGUAGCGGUGAAAUGCGUAGAGAUCUGGAGGAAUACCGAUGGCGAAGGCAGCCAUCUGGCCUAAUACUGACGCUGAGGUACGAAAGCGUGGGGAGCAAACAGGAUUAGAUACCCCUGUAGUCCCUGUCUCUUAUAC
rnacentral:rRNA from 1 species